rnacentral:rRNA from 1 species
UACGGAGGAUGCGAGCGUUAUCCGGAUUUACUGGGUGUAAAGGGAGCGUAGACGGCUGAGCAAGUCUGAAGUGAAAGGCGGGGGCCCAACCCCCGGACUGCUCUGGAAACUAUGUGACUGGAGUGCAGGAGAGGUGAGCGGAAUUCCUAGUGUAGCGGUGAAAUGCGUAGAGAUCGGGAGGAACACCAGUGGCGAAGGCGGCCUACUGGGCUUUAACUGACGCUGAGGCACGAAAGCGUGGGUAGCAAACAGG